ACAUCCAGAGAACUUAGCAGGAGAUGCUUUGGUGCCUUCGGGAACUCUGAGACAGGUGCUGCAUGGCUGUCGUCAGCUCGUGUUGUGAAAUGUUGGGUUAAGUCCCGCAACGAGCGCAACCCUUAUCCUUUGUUGCCAGCGGCUCGGCCGGGAACUCAAAGGAGACUGCCGGUGAUAAACCGGAGGAAGGUGGGGAUGACGUCAAGUCAUCAUGGCCCUUACGGCCAGGGCUACACACGUGCUACAAUGGCGCAUACAAAGAGAAGCGACCUCGCGAGAGCAAGCGGACCUCAUAAAGUGCGUCGUAGUCCGGAUUGGAGUCUGCAACUCGACUCCAUGAAGUCGGAAUCGCUAGUAAUCGUAGAUCAGAAUGCUACGGUGAAUACGUUCCCGGGCCUUGUACACACCGCCCGUCACACCAUGGGAGUGGGUUGCAAAAGAAGUAGGUAGCUUAACCUUCGGGAGGGCGCUUACCACUUUGUGAUUCAUGACUGGGGUGAAGUCGUAACAAGGUAAGCGUACGUGU
rnacentral:rRNA from 1 species